CUGGAUUUACAGCUCAGUGGCAGAGCACUUGCCUAACAUGCACAAGGUGCUGGGUUCAAUUCCCAGCAUCAGA
rnacentral:tRNA from 1 species